GACGAACGCUGGCGGCGUGCUUAACACAUGCAAGUCGAACGGAAAGGCCCUGCUUUUGUGGGGUGCUCGAGUGGCGAACGGGUGAGUAACACGUGAGUAACCUGCCCUUGACUGUGGGAUAUCUUCAGGAAACUGGGGCUAAUACCGGAUAUGAGCUCCUGCUGCAUGGUGGGGGUUGGAAAGUUUCGGCGGUUGGGGAUGGACUGGCGGCUUAUCAGCUUGUUGGUGGGGUAGUGGCUUACCAAGGCUGUGACGGGUAGCCGGCCUGGGCGGGGGGACGGCGACAAUACGCCUGAGAUACGGCCCAGCCGCCAACCGGACGCAGCGGUGGAGAGUAUAGCACAGUGGGCGGAAGCCUGACAUGACACCGCCGCGUGCGGGAUGACGUGCUUCGGGUUGUGAACCAAUGUCGCCUUACACGAGGCGUUAGUGACGGUAACGGGUAAAGAAGCACCGGCUAACUACGUG
rnacentral:rRNA from 1 species